UGUGGAUGAAUACCACUGGGAGUUAAGGACUUGCUGUGACUCUCACUCUGACUUAUAGGAGUUUUGCCUGCAGCAGUCACAUAGUUGAAAAAUAUAGAUCCAUGUGACUGCUAAGAGACCACUGAGAAGCCAAAUUUUAAGAGCUCCUCUCCAAGAUAUCACCACAACGUCAUCAUCGACAUCUGUUAUUUACCUAUGUACAAAGGGGCUGCGUUAAUCAAUACACGUGAUGCAGUGGUGCAGAGUAUGGUCUGAGGAGCUAAGCAGAGUGGAAUCCACAUCCUGAUUUCUCUGACUUGGAAUACCUCAAGCACUCCUGUGCCUUCGGGAUAUGGUUGACAGCCCUGCACAAGUGUGACUGAGAUCCUGAUAAGCAAGUGAAAUGACAUGGAUGCAUAAGUUUACCAAAAACAGAAUUAAGAGAAUUUUGCUGGGGUGACAGAUGGAACAAAACUUUGGUGAAUAUGGAUCGCGAAUGCUUUGGCACCUAUUACAGGUUUGAUGAUCGCUUUUGUGACUCUUCUGUUUCAAUGGGGUCCCUGAUAGCAGUGAUGCUGAGGAAAAGUCCAGUUCAGGUACCUCCUACUCAGAAGGUCCUUCAUCACGGAACUAGGGG